UUAGCAUAACGUUCUCCGUGUUUAUUGAUGGUGCAUCAUGUUUCAGGAUUUCCUUUCUCUUUAAGGCUGAGUAAUAUUCCAUUGUAUGAAUGGACCACACCUGUUCAUCAGUUCAUCCAUCGGUGGACCCUCCAGCUGCUGUGCCAGGGUGUGAUCAUGGAAAGAGGAAGAGUCUAGAAGGAUAUUAAAGAUCACUCGCUCUGGAGGAAGCCAGCUGCCGUGUUUCGAGAACACCCAAGGAGCCCAGGUGGCGAGGAACUAAAGCCUCCAGCCGAGAGCCAUGUGGGCGGGGCUUCCCCGGUCAUCACAAUUCCGUUUUGAGAGGCUCUCUCUCUGCCUGCCGUGUGGACAAUGGACGAAACGGCAGAGGUGAACGUACGCCCCCUUGGGAAGCAGCCACUGCAGUCAUCCACAAAUGACGCGUGACGGUCACCCAUAUUUCAGGACCCGAGGAGGGUGAGAGGUGCUGCCUGGUAUGUCUGGAAGGCUUCCUGAAAGAAGAGGUAUGGAUGAUGUGGCUUUGAAGAAGACAGAAGCCAGAGAUCUGAGAAGGGGGAGAAGAAUAAGAAUCUGGCGUGACAUCAGGGAAGUCGUUCCUUCGUUCCUGGCCGCGCGGAGCCUGGUGGGCCAGGGUGAGUGCCAAGGGGACCCAAUGGACCGAAGUGCCUGAUUUGUGUUCAGAGUCUCCUGGUUGCUUGAGGAAGCAGAUUGCCAGAUAAGAUACAGGACACCCAGUUAAACCGGAAUAUCAGAUAAACAACGCAUGAUUUUUUUUUAAGCCUGAGUAUAUCCCAAAUACGGCAAUGGGACGUACCUAUGCUAAACUAUUACUGUCCUUCUGGAAUUCAAAUUUAACGAGGCAUCCUGGAGUUUUAUUUGCAGGGAGGACAGAAUGUGGGGGAGGUCAGGUGCUGGUGACUGAUGGUCAUGGAUGUGACAUGGGCCCGAUGUGCAGGCCAUAUGCCCGGAGGACUUUGACGUCUGCCCUGAGAGGGGUAGCCCUGAGAGGCUGUGAGUGUAGGAGGGACAGGCCCUGACUUGGGUAAGGGGCCCUCAGACCCAACCCCGGGACUUGGCAGCCACCUGCCCCCAUGGAUUUCCCCAGCCUAGGGCCUUUCCCCUUCAGCAGGGCUGACAUUUGGGGCCAGAUCAUUCUUUUUUUUUUUUUUUUUAAGUUUUUAUUUAAAUUUCACUUAGUUAACAUACAGUGUGACAUGAGUUUCAGGUGCACAGGGUAGUGAUUCCACACUCGAGUACAUCACCCAGUGCUCAUCACGACAAACGCACUCCUUCGUCCCCAUCACCUAUCUCACCCAUCCCCCCACCCCUACCCCCUGGUAAUCAGCAGUUUGUUGUCUGUAGUUAAGAGUCUGUUGGGGCCAGAUUUUCUUGAUUGUGGGGGCAACCCCCGUUCACUAGGGAUGUUGAGCCGCAUUCCUGACCCCCGCCCACUCAACGCCGGGAGCACUCGUAGUCAUGACAACCACAAAUGCCCCCAGACCUCGCCCAGUGUCCCCUGGGGGCAGAGCCACGCUGGGUGAGACUCCCUGGGUUAGGGGAUUCCAUUGACCUCCAGGAGACUCUGCAUCCCAUAAUCAUCUGACCUACUGAGGUCCUGGGAUACCGCACACAUUUAUACGCACGCAUCAAGGGGCACCUGGGUGGCUCAAGGGACACCUGGGUGGCUCAGUCGGUUAAAGUGUCCAACGCUUGGUUUCAGCUCAGGUCACGAUCUCAUGGUUCGUGGGUUC